GACUGUCAGAGCGGACAGAAGGGAGCUUGCUCCCGGAUGUUAGCGGCGGACGGGUGAGUAACACGUGGGUAACCUGCCUGUAAGACUGGGAUAACUCCGGGAAACCGGAGCUAAUACCGGAUAGUUCCUUGAACCGCAUGGUUCAAGGAUGAAAGACGGUUUCGGCUGUCACUUACAGAUGGACCCGCGGCGCAUUAGCUAGUUGGUGGGGUAAUGGCUCACCAAGGCGACGAUGCGUAGCCGACCUGAGAGGGUGAUCGGCCACACUGGGACUGAGACACGGCCCAGACUCCUACGGGAGGCAGCAGUAGGGAAUCUUCCGCAAUGGACGAAAGUCUGACGGAGCAACGCCGCGUGAGUGAUGAAGGUUUUCGGAUCGUAAAGCUCUGUUGUUAGGGAAGAACAAGUGCGAGAGUAACUGCUCGCACCUUGACGGUACCUAACCAGAAAGCCACGGCUAACUACGUGCCAGCAGCCGCGGUAAUACGUAGGUGGCAAGCGUUGUCCGGAAUUAUUGGGCGUAAAGGGCUCGCAGGCGGUUUCUUAAGUCUGAUGUGAAAGCCCCCGGCUCAACCGGGGAGGGUCAUUGGAAACUGGGAAACUUGAGUGCAGAAGAGGAGAGUGGAAUUCCACGUGUAGCGGUGAAAUGCGUAGAGAUGUGGAGGAACACCAGUGGCGAAAGGCGACUCUCUGGUCUGUAACUGACGCUGAGGAGCGAAAGCGUGGGGAGCGAACAGGAUUAGAUACCCU
rnacentral:rRNA from 1 species